rnacentral:rRNA from 1 species
UACGAAGGGUGCAAGCGUUACUCGGAAUUACUGGGCGUAAAGCGUGCGUAGGCGGUUUGUUAAGUCCGCUGUGAAAGCCCUGGGCUCAACCUGGGAAUUGCAGUGGAUACUGGCAGCUAGAGUGCGGUAGAGGAUGGUGGAAUUCCCCGGUGUAGCGGUGAAAUGCGUAGAGAUCGGGAGGAACACCCGUGGCGAAGGCGGCCAUCUGGAC